AAAUAAGAAGCAUACCUAUGCAUUUAAUUUCGACUUAAAAGAAGAGUUUAAUCACUCCUUAUUUG
rnacentral:tRNA from 1 species